UUUGUAGCUCAGUUGGUAGAGCAGGGGACUGAAAAUCCCCGUGUCGUUGGUUCGAUUCCGACCGA
rnacentral:tRNA from 1 species